GAGGGUGAUGAGCGUCAAGCUGGGGUUUUGCUUUGAACUAACUAGCCAACAAACCAAAAGCUACGGAGGAACCAUCGGCCCAUCCUUCGAUUGCACUACAUCCAUGGUCUCUUAUGGAUAUAUAUACCAGGCCAUGGGUGGCAUAUGCCCUCUUCUGUGCUCGGAGGCUUGAGCAGCAGAACCAUCAAGGCCUGAUAUUUUUCUUCGUGGUUGAUGGUUAGGAACAAUUUGAUCCUGCAUCCAAUCUAAGGUAAGUUGCUUCUAUGAAUUCGUUCGUUGUUAUUGUAAUGUAGUUGCAGCAAUAUAGUAUUCAUUGUUGAGGUUAUGUUUUUAGUUUUAAUGGAUCUAGUUGCUCUGGUUUGAUCGAUUAUUGAAUCUGCUGUUCUGCAGUUAUUUUACCUCUAGACUAGAACUUCAGUAUCAAAUGUAAAAAAUCUGUGAUCUAGUUUCAUUGAAGGAUAUAUGUUAUGUGCUUCAUCAAAAAGGUUAGAUUAUGUAGCACCCGUCAUGACACUUUCCGAAAAGGCAGUAGUGCUAGCGCAAAACAAUCAGGAAAACAUCAUUUUUGAGGCUGAGUUGGCCUUUUGAAUUGUCUCUUUUGUUUUCAACGUUUUAUUGCUUCUUGAUAGUUUAGUUUUUUUUUCGGAUGAAGGGUACUUAGUUAUAAUAAUGGAUGGUUACGUGCAAAACUCUUGCAGAGGCCAGAAUAUAAGUGCUGCUCCGUAAGCUGUUAUAUCUUGUGUAUACGAAACGCGCAGGUCUCUUCCGUUCUCGUCUAUCAGUGGGCCAUUAUCUCACAGAUGUGAGAAACGAUACAAACUCAACAUGACAUAAAGCCACAAACAGUGUAUCGCUCCCAUAUAAUACCAUCUCGUUAAUUGAAGGAUGACAUGCGACUGAGUGAGCUAUUAAUAAAGAGGGUCGAGCUCAUUUUUAACUCAUAUAUUUCUUGACCUUUUGACUAAGAUAAAGUGUAAUAUACUAAUAUUUGUUCUUAUCCGUUUAAUAUAUGGUAUGUGGAUCAUUUGCUCAUUUUAAUAUUAAAUUUAUUUUUAGGGGUAUUUUUUGUGGGGAAGUCUACCGUACUAGCUUACUAAGUCGUUCAUCUGUUGCACUGCUGGUAGAACAUGGUCCAUCCCAAUCAAUACCAUCAAAUAUAAUUGUCACCAGUUUCAUGCGUCGUGUGUAGGUUUGUUUCUCUAUCCUGUUUCUCGCCUAUCAGUAGACUUGUUACCCACAGAUGGAUCGUGAGAAACCAUUCAAGUCCAACAUAAUAGAAAGUUGCACGCAACACAACGCUUUCACAUAGUACCACCCUACUAGCUUACUAGACCCUCGUGUGUCGUUCAGCCGUUACUACUGGUAGGACAUGGUCCAUCCCAACCAAUACCAUCAAAUAUAAUUGUGUGCCACCAGUUUCACACGUCGUGUGUAGGUUUGUUUCUCUAUCCCGCUUCUCGCUUAUAAGUGGACCGUUACCCCAUAGAUGUGUUGUGGGAAAACACCCAAGCCUAACAUAAUAGAAAGUCAUAUGCAACACAGCAACACAACACUUUCAUAUAGUACCACCCUACUAGCUAAAGGAGGAAGAGCGAGCUAUAAUAAAGGGCUCGGGUUCCUUUUCAAGUUUCAACUCAUACUUUUCUUGACCUUUUGUUUAAGAUAAUUUUAAUAUUUAUUCUUGUCGGUUUAAUAUAUGAUAUAUUGACUCUAUGUUCAUUUUAAUAUUAAAUUUAUUUUUAUGGUUAUUUUUAAGAUGGUCCACUAUACUAGCUUAUUAAUUUAUUUUUAUGGUUAUUUUUAAGAUGGCCCACCAUACUAGCUUAUUAAUUUAUUUUUAUGGUUAUUUUUAAGAUGGUCCACCAUACUCCAUACUAGCUUAUUAAGGUCCUUACAUGUCAUUCAGCCGUUGCACUGUUGGGGUAGGGUCUAGCCACUAAAUCAAUACCAUCAAAUAUGAUUGUGUGUGUCAAAACACACGAUCAUUGUACUAGUAAUGUUAUUAUAUGACAUCAUGUAACCAAUUAGGCUCCUAGAGUUCUCAAGCCAUCUAGGAUUUAUGUCAUAUUCUUGUUGCUAGGGUAAUGAUAGAUUUAAAUCUUAAUUGAAACUGCAAGGUAAUGUUUGUGGUUUCUAUUUUCUGUGACCUGAUUAUUAUUGAAGUUUCUGUUGGUUCAGUCAACAGUGAACACGUGUAGUUAUUAGCAAUUUAGAUCAAUAAUCUUUACAGCAAAAUGGAUCAAGACCCCAGAACUUAGUUAUCUCAAUCACCAUUGUCUCACCCAAUCCACAAAUCUUUAAACAGGAGUAUCAGGGAAGCCUUGCAUUUACUACAAGAGGGGCAGUCGUAGAAUCCAAUGAAAAAUUCUGGGUUUGCUAUAAAAUACAAAAGGUGCAACUGUAAUUACCUAAUCUGCAGUAACUAAGUUCACCAAAGUGUUGUAGGGCUGUUAUAUACCAAACAAGAAAUACAUUUUGGCCCUUUAACUUAAACACAUAGACAUAUCGACUUUUUCUUGGCAUCGCCUCAUCUUUUCUGUGCAACCAUGGAAUUGAAUGAACAAAUGACUUGUUGCAGUGCACCUCAUGGAAUCUGACAUCAACUUGAAACUUGCUAAACCUCUUGAUCCCACUAAUCAUGCAUAAGCCAACAGAGCAGCCAAGGCAACCCAGAAUACCAAGAAUGGGAGUGCCAAUGGUUUUGUUAGAGGGCUUGCAUUCGGCAGCCAUGGAUAAUUUUCAGGAGAUGGCAUG
rnacentral:lncRNA from 1 species